CAACAGCUAGAGUUUGAUCCAUAUGUGAUAAUAGGAGACGGCUCAGAUGAGGCAGAAAAUAAGGUGGAGUAUGCCAACGGGUCUGACGUAUCUGUAAAUACUGUGGACGGCAGGGACUAUACGUACAGAACACUCGGGAAUAACGGUUCUAUGGUGAUAAAUCUCAAAUGCUCGCCUAAUGAGACGAAUUAUCUGACGGUCCAGCUCUGGGGAGGAGAUACGGGUGAAGGAAUGCUGUGGGUCUGUGAUCCGGUAUCGGGAUUCAUGAAUCCAACUGAUUCGG
rnacentral:rRNA from 1 species